UUCCGAGGCUGUGGAUUCUAGUAGGAACAAUUGGCGAAACUCGGAUGAGCAUGAAAAAGCCAAAGUUGUCAUGUAGUACUAGUGCUGCCACCAAGUUAGGGGCAGCUCGGCUUAGUGAUGCAACAUCAAUAGCUUAUGCCUAGGUGUUUGCUCCUAACCAAGUAUGGCCAAAAAGGAACUCAUUUGCUGUUGGAAUUUAGGGUCGUGCUUUCCUUCAAAGUCCUAGCUGUUGAAAUAAUUGAAUAUAGAUGUUCUCAGGGCUCUGUACAAAGACCAAGAACCAAGUGCAUCGAAUUUGUUUGAGUGCCUCUGUAGAAAAAAAAAGAGAAAUGAUACACCUUAUGUAUAGAUUGCCAUUGCAUGUUAGCUUUCAAAUACAGCUCAUUGCAAUUCUAGAUGAAAAUUUUUUAGGGGAUUUGCUGUUGUAUUUGAUGAAAUGCUCUAUCAAACAUUUAUGUGAUGAGAUGUUAAUUUA